rnacentral:rRNA from 1 species
AACGAACGCUGGCGGCAGGCUUAACACAUGCAAGUCGAGCGCCCAGCAAUGGGAGCGGCAGACGGGAUAGUAACACGUGGGAACGUACCUUUCAGUUCGGAACAACCAAGGGAAACUUUGGCUAAUACCGAAUACGCCCGUAAGGGGAAAGAUUUAUCGCUGAAAGAUCGGCCCGCGUCUGAUUAGCUAGUUGGUGAGGUAAUGGCUCACCAAGGCGACGAUCAGUAGCUGGUCUGAGAGGAUGAUCAGCAUCACUGGGACUGAGACACGGCCCAGACUCCUACGGGAGGCAGCAGUGGGGAAUAUUGGACAAUGGGCGCAAGCCUGAUCCAGCCAUGCCGCGUGAGUGAUGAAGGCCUUAGGGUUGUAAAGCUCUUUCGUCAGGGAAGAUAAUGACGGUACCUGAAGAAGAAGCCCCGGCUAACUUCGUGCCAGCAGCCGCCGUAAUAC